rnacentral:rRNA from 1 species
AUUGAACGCUGGCGGCAUGCCUUACACAUGCAAGUCGAACGGCAGCGGGGGAGAAGCUUGCUUUUCCUGCCGGCGAGUGGCGAACGGGUGAGUAAUACAUCGGAACGUGCCCGAUCGUGGGGGAUAACGCAGCGAAAGCUGUGCUAAUACCGCAUACGAUCUACGGAUGAAAGCGGGGGAUCUUCGGACCUCGCGCGGACGGAGCGGCCGAUGGCAGAUUAGGUAGUUGGUGAGGUAAAGGCUCACCAAGCCGACGAUCUGUAGCUGGUCUGAGAGGACGACCAGCCACACUGGGACUGAGACACGGCCCAGACUCCUACGGGAGGCAGCAGUGGGGAAUUUUGGACAAUGGGCGCAAGCCUGAUCCAGCCAUGCCGCGUGCAGGAUGAAGGCCUUCGGGUUGUAAACUGCUUUUGUACGGAACGAAAAGGUUCUUUCUAAUAAAGAGAGCUCAUGACGGUACCGUAAGAAUAAGCACCGGCUAACUACGUGCCAGCAGCCGCAGUAA